UACGUAGGCAGCGAGCGUUGUUCGGAGUUACUGGGCGUAAAGGGCGUGUAGGUGGUUCUGUAUGUCUACCGUGAAAGCGUACGGCUCAACCGUAUUUAGUCGGUAGAAACUGCAGGACUUGAGGCUGGGAGGGGCUGGUGGAAUUCCCCGUGUAGCGGUGAAAUGCGUAGAGAUGGGGGAGAACACUCGUGGCGAAGGCGGCCAGCUAGACCAGUUCUGACACUGAGGCGCGAUAGCGUGGGGAGCAAACAGG
rnacentral:rRNA from 1 species